UACGGAGGGAGCUAGCGUUGUUCGGAAUUACUGGGCGUAAAGCGCACGUAGGCGGUUUUUUAAGUCAGAGGUGAAAGCCCGGGGCUCAACCCCGGAACUGCCUUUGAAACUAGAUGACUAGAAUCGUGGAGAGGUGAGUGGAAUUCCGAGUGUAGAGGUGAAAUUCGUAGAUAUUCGGAAGAACACCAGUGGCGAAGGCGACUGACUGGACAAGUAUUGACGCUGAGGUGCGAAAGCGUGGGGAGCAAACAGG
rnacentral:rRNA from 1 species